GCGGCGUGCUUACACAUGCAGUCGAACGAUGAUGCCCAGCUUGCUGGGCGGAUUAGUGGCGAACGGGUGAGUAAUACGUGAGUAACCUGCCCUUGACUCUGGGAUAAGCCUGGGAAACUGGGUCUAAUACUGGAUACUACCUCUUGCCGCAUGGUGGGUGGUGGAAAGGGUUUUACUGGUUUUGGAUGGGCUCACGGCCUAUCAGCUUGUUGGUGGGGUAAUGGCUCACCAAGGCGACGACGGGUAGCCGGCCUGAGAGGGUGACCGGCCACACUGGGACUGAGACACGGCCCAGACUCCUACGGGAGGCAGCAGUGGGGAAUAUUGCACAAUGGGCGGAAGCCUGAUGCAGCGACGCCGCGUGAGGGAUGACGGCCUUCGGGUUGUAAACCUCUUUCAGUAGGGAAGAAGCGAGAGUGACGGUACCUGCAGAAGAAGCGCCGGCUAACUACGUGCCAGCAGCCGCGGUAAUACGUAGGGCGCAAGCGUUGUCCGGAAUUAUUGGGCGUAAAGAGCUCGUAGGCGGUUUGUCGCGUCUGCUGUGAAAGCCCGGGGCUCAACCCCGGGUCUGCAGUGGGUACGGGCAGACUAGAGUGCAGUAGGGGAGACUGGAAUUCCUGGUGUAGCGGUGAAAUGCGCAGAUAUCAGGAGGAACACCGAUGGCGAAGGCAGGUCUCUGGGCUGUUACUGACGCUGAGGAGCGAAAGCAUGGGGAGCGAACAGGAUUAGAUACCCUGGUAGUCCAUGCCGUAAACGUUGGGCACUAGGUGUGGGGGACAUUCCACGUUUUCCGCGCCGUAGCUAACGCAUUAAGUGCCCCGCCUGGGGAGUACGGCCGCAAGGCUAAAACUCAAAGGAAUUGACGGGGGCCCGCACAAGCGGCGGAGCAUGCGGAUUAAUUCGAUGCAACGCGAAGAACCUUACCAAGGCUUGACAUUCACCGGACCGCCCCAGAGAUGGGGUUUCCCUUCGGGGCUGGUGGACAGGUGGUGCAUGGUUGUCGUCAGCUCGUGUCGUGAGAUGUUGGGUUAAGUCCCGCAACGAGCGCAACCCUCGUUCUAUGUUGCCAGCACGUGAUGGUGGGGACUCAUAGGAGACUGCCGGGG
rnacentral:rRNA from 1 species